GAGUUUGUUUCAAUUGAUAAUUUUGUGGGAAUUGUGUUUUGAAAUUAAGAUCGAUUAAAAAAAAAAUCAUGAUUGAGUAGCCUCAUUUUGAAUUUCAGAAUAUUUAUUUGUUGAAUCACACAGAAAAAAUACCCAAGUUUGUUGGUAUUGGCUAUCUUUGCUUGGUAUGAAUGUAGGGAUGACAAUGGGUAGGGUACUAUAGUACCCAUCCCCAUACCCGCAGAUUGAAAAAUUACCCGUACUCAUCCCCAUCCCCGCGUGGGUAACAACUUUUGUCCCCGUCCUCAUAUCCUAUGGGUACCUAGGUACCCAUACCCGUACCCGUUACCCGCAUUUUUACUAAAAAUAAUUUGAUCAAUUAUAAAAUAUCAUAUAAUUUUAAUAGAAUUAAAAAAAUUUCAAAGAUUUUAAUAUCGACUAAUGAAAAUUAUAAACAAAAUUAUUACUAACCUUAUGUUAAAGUUGAUAUNNNNNNNNNNNNNNNNNNNNNNNNNUAUGUUAUAAAUAAAUAUUUUUAUUAAAAAUAUGUAAUAGUUUAGUAGAGUUGUAUUGUUUUAAAUUGAUUUACAUAUAUUAUAAUAUAAUAAUAUAAAUAAAAUAAAUAAAUAUAUAUCAUGCAGGUAUGGGGCGGGGUGGGUACUAAGGUACCCGUACCCGCACCCAUACCCGUUCAUUUUUACGGGUAAUUACCCAUACCCGUACCCAAAAUGCGGGUUUUUACCCUACCCGUUGUGGGUAAUUUUUGCGGGUACCAUCUGGGUAUGGGUCAAAUUGCCAUCCCUAUAUGAAUGAGGGGCUGAUUGUGUCGUUGAGAAUUGGAGAUUGGUAAGAACUAAGAAGAAAUAUAAUUUUUUGGUUGGUUUUUUAAACUUUGUUGUUCGACCGCAGAACCCACAAAGUAGAAAAAACCAAUGUGAUGAUUAGGUGUAGUUGCGGGACAAAAGAACACCCAAGUUAAUUUAACAAAUAAUUGCGGACCAUUGGAUUUAAAGAAAAAGAUGGUUAAUAUUUGGUGUUAAACUUUAGUUUGAUACCUGGUGUCAACGGAUUCUAACUCUUAAUAAAUUAGGUUAAUUAGGUAUAUUAUGUCGACAUUAUGUCUUUGCUUCUACAACAUCCUUUACUUCAUGCCCAUUUACAAAGCUAAUACUAUAAAGAUGAUACUACUUUAUUAAGAAUAUUUUAGUUAAUCUCAUAUCAAUGUGAUUUUUUAUAAUGUUCUAAUAUUUAUAUUUAUUGUAAAGAUGGUGAAACUAUGAUUUUAUUCAAAAUAUUUUUAUAUAUAUGUGAUGUAGAUUGACGGCUUGUAUACACACAAACAUAUGCUUUAACUUUUUUGCUAGCUAGCUACCUUAAUAAUAAUAGUAAUCAAAUUAGUAUACAAGCUUUACACAUAAUGGGCAUGAAGUGUUAAAUGUUGAAGUAGCAAAGACAUAAUAUCGACAUAUUAACAAAACUAACACACAUAAUGAACAAGAGGUUAGUCUUAUUUUUAUUUAUAAUGGAGCAGAUAGUUGAAUAAAGGUUAGUUCGUAUUAUAAAGUUUGUAAAAUCCUAAGGUAAUUGUUCGUUUUUUUUAAGGGUUUUAUUUGACGGAAAAGGGAAAAUUGUUUUUCGUAGUGGCUUUUGGCGAGUUGAAAUAUUUUAUUAACCUGGAAUAAUGGUCUGUCUAGCCUGACUUUUUUAGCUCUUUUUUAUAGCUUAUACAUUAUACAAACAGCUUAUGUAAUUUUUAUAUAUUAUUAUAAAUUUGUCAAGAUAGUUUAUGAUAAAAUAGCUUAUAAAAUUACAAUUUUCACUAGUGUAAACUUAUAAAAUAGCAUAAAACAUAAUUUAUAUUGCAUAAGCUGUUUGCAUAAGCUCUAAAAAAAGCUGGGUCAAACGAGCCCUAAAUCAGAUUUAAUUAUGGGUAAUAUAUUAUAUAUAUAUAUAUAUAUAUAUAUAUAUAAUUUAGAGCAAUAAAAAAAUACUUAAGAAAUGCAUCUAAUUAAGUUGUCCAAUUAAAUAAAUGUACCGAUUGUUAAACUUUUGUUUGACUAAAUUAUGAAAGAUAUGAAUGAAAAGGAAAGAUAGUAAUUUGGUUCCGUACCACUAUAGCCACUAGGAAGUUGUGAAUCAUUCAUUUGAAUCCACUAUUUCCUGUCAAAAGUAACACGUACAAUAAGAUUUUUGUCAAUAAGAAUUUAUUUAAGAGGUUGGGAUUUUUUUAUUAAGAAUUCUUUUGUAUUCACCUGUCAAUAAUCAACCUUAUACUCGCAUAUUAAAAAAGAGUUUCUUUAUUAUGUGCAAAUUUAUAAAUGUUAAAAAGUUUAAAAUAGUAUUUGUUCAAUUAUCUUUGUCACACAUUUAUUAUAAAGGAAUGAAUAAAGUUGUAUAUUGCAUUACUUUUAAGGGUUUACAAGAGGUGUAUAUAU
rnacentral:lncRNA from 1 species